rnacentral:lncRNA from 10 species
CCACCCCCCACCCUGCUCUCAAGUCAUUUUCAUUGUCUGUUUUUUGCCUUGAGGUUUUUAUUGCUUCUUCAGAGUGGAAGAAGGCUUUGUUUUAUUUUGUUUUCCAGGCGCUGGUAUACAUAACCUCAUGGAUCCAUCCUUCCUGCAAAAAUUAUGGUGUUUCUAAAUCGGCAACAAUUUCCUUUCACUGGGGAAAGGCAGGGAAGGGUCAGAUAUUUGCUGAGCCCAUAACAACUACCAGGUGCAAAACUAAGUGGGGUUUUUUUGGUUUUGUUUUUUGGAUUUUUUUUUUUCGUUUAAUCCUCACAACCGACCAGAGAAGCAGGUAGUAUUACAUCUUAUUUUACCGAUGAGAAAACUGAGACCCAGAGAGGUGAAACGACCAGCUCAAGGUUACACAAGAUGCAGCUGCAGAGACCAUGAGCUGAAGACAGAAGCAUCACAAGAGGAAAGGAGCCUGGAUCCCUGAGU